UUGACUGAGCAUAGAGGAGAAUUUAUAAUAAUAAAUAAGGACUUAAAUAUUGAUCUGUUUCUCACCCACACUUCCUCAAAUCACUUAAGAAGAUAUGGAUUUAACCACCAGAGUCAUCUGGAGUACUUUUAUUUUGCCCUUAUAUGGAUUUUGGAGUUUCAAAAUUUUGGCACCCAUUCACUUACAUUGUAUGGACCUACAGAGCUGAUAAAUACUUCUAAAAAUCUUCGAUUGUGUUGAGCAGAAGAAAGAAAGUCAUACACAUCUGGGAUGGCAUGAAGGCAUGCGUGCUGUAUGUGUGUGCGGGAAAGAGAUUGCCAUUCGCCAGACGUGCUCUACCGCUCUCAUCCAGAAAUAGCAAUAACGCCCCCUACAGCAGAAUGGAACCUAAACUGGUGGUGAAGGGGUGGAUGGGGGGUGAAAACAACGUGCAUGAUGAAUGAUAACCGACAGCUGCAGAGUUAUAAAGAAGAAGCUGGAUUAUGAUUGGACGAGACACCUGAAUUGAAAGAAUGGUGUAUGCUUCUACGAGUCUUCCUGACAGAACUACCGCUACGCUUACAUUUCUGAGUGCUAGGUUGUUAAGGAUGCAGAAUACUGUGAUCUAGCAUACUGUGCUGGGGCUGUGCAGCAAUUGUGAUCCAGGCACUUGAAUCAUCUCUUAAAAUUAAGAAAGUGCUUACAACUACACUGCGUGUCUGGAUAUAUGCCCGGUUAUAAAGCUCUUCUCCAUCAUUUGAUCAUCAUUUGAUGAAUUGCUGCUGCCAGUAUCACUAGAAAAUGUAUGCAAACUUCCCUUUUAAAAGGAAUAUUUCAGGGUCAAUACAAGUUAUUCAGUUCCAUUGUAAAUGCCUCUCUGUAACCUUGAUUUUUGCUUUUUUUUUUUUUUUUUUUAAGAAAAGGAGGGACAAGUCUAAAUAAACCUUUGUAGUAAUCAAUAUUAUGCCAAAAAUGCUUUCAAUUGAGCUUAAUGUAUAUUGAACCCGGAAUAUUUUCUUUUAGAAAAAUUCCAUUUACCGCCUGUCUCCUGGGAAGGUAAUAGCGUAACAUGCGUGACAGAAUUUUGAGAACAAAGUACUAUCUAUAAUAAGCCUAAUUUACAUAAAAGAGAUGGGUCUGCCUAGAAAAGAAUACGUUUAAAUAUGCAUGGCACUGUGCUAUACCAGUGCAGAUAGCAUCUAGUUAGACUGAAUUGAGGGUGUUCAUUUAAUAAAAUACAGGUUUUUGCGCUGAAAUACCGCAUGCUAAAUUGGUGAAACAGUUUAGUGAAUUUGCCUCGUUGCACUUGGAAUUCUCCUUAUGACCACUCCAGAAGUACUCAGCCUGCCAGAACAUGCAAAGCUAAUGGUGCAUAAAUUAAUCGAAGCUCUGGACAAACCAGAAUCGCCAUGAGCGUGCUUGUAACAUACCGUGGUCCGUGCAUAGUGUCGGACUCAUUGCUAUUGUCAGAGCAAUGCUAAAUGGAAGGCUCAGCACAUUAUGAAAUUGCCCUCUGCAGCCUUAAUCAAAAGCAGCUUUGCCUAAAAGUGGGUACAGAUGAAAGUGGGUGGAGCUGACCCCUUUUUAGGAACCUUUUACAGCUUUCAGAGUGUCUUUCUUUAACUCAUUGCAUGCCAUCUUGUCUGCUUCUUGGAACCUGCCAUUUAUUUAUUCAACCUUUCUCUCAAAUUGUUAUGCUGAAAAUGUAAUUUGGAUUGAAAACGUUGUACUAAAAAAAAUAGAAGCAUGUAAACUAGAGGCCUCAGACUAUUGGACCCCACUAUAUAUUUAUAUAAAUUCCUGCAAAGAGAUUCUAUAUCCCUGUGACCUAAAGUUAUUAAAGUAAAGUUAAAAUGUUGC